rnacentral:rRNA from 1 species
GUUGCAGUUAAAAAGCUCGUAGUUGGAUUUUUGUUUCUAGUUGCUCGGUUCUCCGCGGCGGCAUUUGUCGUCGUGUGAGAGCUGGCCGGAGACAUUUCUCGUCGUUCGUCGUGGCAACACGGCGGAAGGCGAAAUUACUUUGAGAAAAAUAGAGUGUUCCAAGCAGGCGUCACGCCACGAAUACUUCAGCAUGGAAUAAAACCAACGGGCUUUCGUCCUUUUGGUGGGUUCUGGACCAAGUCAUGAUUGAUAGGGACAGUUGGGGGUGCUCGUAUUCCGGGGCCAGAGGUGAAAUUCUUGGAUUCUCGGAAGACGAACAACUGCGAAAGCAUUCACCAAGGACGUUUUCUUUAAUCAAGAACGAAAGUUGGGGGAUCGAAGACGAUCAGAUACCGUCGUAGUCUCAACCAUAAACGAUGCCAACUGAGAAUUCUUUCCAGUCUCUCGUGGGACACGUGCCGCAAGGUAACGGCCCACGAAUCGACGGAAGGGGCGCUCUGUGAGAAAUCAAAGUUUUCGGGUUCCGGGGAGAGUAUUGUCGCAAGGCACAAAUUUAAAGGAAUUGAUGGGAGUUUAUCAUCGGGAAUGGAUUGUGCGGCUCAAAUUGACCCAACACGGGAAAACUUACCAGGUCCGUACAGAGUGAGGAGAAACAGACUGAAGUUCUUUUUUGAUUCUUUGGGUGGUGGUGCAUGGCCGUUCUUAGUUGGUGGUGUGGACUGUCUGGUUAAUUCCGUUAACGAACGAGACUUCUACCCUGAAUUUACAUUAUAACUAGUUUUCAAUGUCUGUCAAAGGACAUUUUUUCAUACGAUAAACUUCUUAGGGGGACUAAUGUGCAAUAAGCUCAUGGAGGCGGGAAGCGAUAGCAGGUCAUUGAUGCCCUUAGAAACCUGGGCCGCACGCGCAAUACACUGGACGGAUCAGCGUGUUCAUAGUUUCUCGUUGUGGGGCAACUUGCAGCGAGAGAACCUUGUUCGAGAGGACCGGGAAAUCAUUUAAAUCCGUCCGUGCUGGGGAUUGAGCAUUGCAAUUAUUGCUCAUGAACGAGGAAUUCCUUGUAGACGUACGUCAUCAGCGUACAUCGAAUACAUCCCUUGACUUUAUACACACCGCCCGUCGCUGUUACCGAUUGAAUGUUUUAGUGAGCUGUGAGGAGAAGAGUUGGGCAACUGAUUUUCCGAAUCACAUCAAACUUGAACAUUUAGAGGAAGCAAAAGUCGUAACAAGGUCCCCGUAGGUGAACCUGCGGGGG